AUCAGUCGGUUCUGUUACCACCAUUUGCAGAGAUGGAAGCCGAAGCUCAGAGUCAUUAGUUAACUGGCUCAAGGUCACACAGCUAGGACUCUGUGUUUCCCUCCAGGCAUGUCAACCACAGCAUCCACGCUCUUAUCCUCAACACCAAUGUCACUGCUCCUGUGUGGGACAGAGGUUCACAGCAUGGCAAUGAGCAAAACCUUUAUGCACAUCCGCAUUCACAUGACUGAGCUACAGAUGGUCAGCCAAAGAAGAUAACGAUGAAAGUUCAAGGUUGCAGAGAGUCAGAGGCACAUAUUAGCUUUAAAGAGAAAGUCAGUACUUUGUAGGGAGGGGCCUUCCUCUGGUCCCAGGGAAAUGGCUCCCAGGCUGUGGUGCAGGAUAGCCGGGCUCUGUGAAAAGGCUGCCUUUUGAAGCAUUUUUCUGAAAGAGGGAUGAUCAAAGCUGAUAUCCUCCACAGGACUUUCCUGGCAGUCCAGAGGUUGGGAAUUAGCCUUCCAGUGCAGAGCAUGGUGGCUCUCUCCCUGGUUGGGGAACUAAGAUCCCACAUGCCUUGGGGCCAAAACAUAAAAACAAAAGCAAUAUUGUAACAAAUUCAAUAAAGAUUUUUAAAAUUAUUCAAAUCAAAAAAAUCUUAAAAAAAAAAAAAAAAAAGCUGACGUCUUUCUUGAAUGAAGCACUCAGAGCCACUGAGAGCCCCACAAUAGCAUCCCUGAGAUGAGUGCUUGUCCACUUCUGUGCUCCCGCUUUAAGAGGAGGGUGGGCAAGGUCAGGUUACUGAGGGUGCAGGUAGAGGGAGGGGCGAGCAGUGGGGACAAUGACUAAUAGUGGGAGCCCUGUAAAAGGGCAGCUGGGAAGAUUGUCACAAGCACAAGCGGGAGACAGGGGGCAGACAUCCAGAGGAAGUGGUUUUCCUGAAGGCUUGCUAAGAGCACCAGAGGUUCUGGGAACACUGAGGACGUCGUGGGAAGCCUCAGGAUUGUGUAUGCACGUGGAGCACUGGUGUGUGAAGUACCCAAACAAGAGGUGAAGGGAUUGCUGUGGACCAAGCGCCCAGGGAAAACAAAGAUUUUAGAUUCGACGUAGCUCAGCUCAAGGAGCCCAGUUCCUGGUGAGAGGAUCUCAGUCCACAUACAGUUCACAAGAGGCACAUCUGCCUGGCGACUUUUACAAACGAACAACUACGUGAAGUGGACGGAGAAGAGGGGUCUGGGGUUGCAUAGGAACACAGCACACUCUCAUUCGACUGCCUCCUGAGGUGGGGUGGGGGAGACACUCCAUCUACUGGUGCUCUGCUCAACAGCAGAACUGGCAAGCCACCCCCAGGGCUGCCAAAACUGGAAGAAAGAUCGUGGGAAGAUGACGCUGCAGCCUCAUGAGACGGGAGAAGCCACAGAAGCAAACCCACCCACCACCACUCCCCCAAGCUGAGUGGGAGAGCAUCGUGGGGAGGGCUGCUCUGACCAUGAACCCAGAGAAGUCUGUCUGUGGUACCCAAGGACAUGCCAUCUCUUUCCUCCCCCAUCUCUCCAUCAAGGUGAAAGCGUGCAUGUGUGCUCAGUUGCUUCAGUCGUGACUGACUCUUUGCGACCCUAUGGAUUGUGG
rnacentral:lncRNA from 1 species